CCGCGAAAGCCAGGCCUUCAUAUUUUGUUGUGUAAUGAUCCCUUCCGUAGGUGAACCUGCGGAGGGAUCAUUACACAACAAAAUAUGAAGGCCUGGCUUUCGCGGCCGGCUGAAGUAUUUUUUUCACCCAUGUCUUUUGCGCACUUGUUGUUUCCUGGGCGGGUUCGCCCGCCACCAGGACCAAACCAUAAACCUUUUUUUCUUAUGCAGUUUCCAUCAGCGUCAGUAAAAACAAUGUAAUUAUUACAACUUUCAACAACGGAUCUCUUGGUUCUGGCAUCGAUGAAGAACGCAGCGAAAUGCGAUACGUAGUGUGAAUUGCAGAAUUCAGUGAAUCAUCGAAUCUUUGAACGCACAUUGCGCCCUUUGGUAUUCCAAAGGGCAUGCCUGUUCGAGCGUCAUUUGUACCUUCAAGCUUUGCUUGGUGUUGGGCGUUUUUUUGUCUCCCUCUUUCUGGGAGACUCGCCUUAAAACGAUUGGCAGCCGGCCUACUGGUUUCGGAGCGCAGCACAUUUUUUGCGCUUUGUAUCAGGAGAAAAGGACGGUACUCCAUCAAGACUCUACAUUUUUCACUUUUGACCUCGGAUCAGGUAGGGAUACCCGCUGAACUUAAGCAUAUCAAUAAGCGGAGGAA
rnacentral:rRNA from 1 species